AGCUCCAGAAGCAUAUGCUAACGUUGUUGCAGUUGAAAAGCUCCUAGUCACACUAAAUGGGCUGAAUCUUGGUCGUUUGCCUUUGGACGCUUUGCGUUCAUUGUUUUGCAUGGUCUUGAUUUGCCCAUCUUUUGCUCUUUUCUUCUUUUGAAGUGAGGGGCAAUCAUUUACUGUAAAUAAAAUAGAGUGUUCAAAGCAGGUCGUUAGGACCGGAAUAUUUCUUAUGGGAUAAUAAGAUAGGACUGGCGUGCUAUUUUGUUGGUUUGCACACGCGAGUAAUGAUGAAUAGGGACAGUUGGGGGUAUUCGUAUUUAACAGCUAGAGGUGAAAUUCUUGGAUUUGUGAAAGACGAACUACUGCGAAAGCAUUUACCAAGGAUGUUUUCA
rnacentral:rRNA from 1 species